CUAGGCCGGGGCGGGUACACCCUGGGAGGCCGGACCCGUUAGGUAACUACAGGGCCCGAUUACCGACUAGACACGCAAUACUCAGACCCUCAAGAACAGAGAGGAAAAGGGAUAAUGGGAGGGGGUACCCUCGUACUACUUCACCAUACCCACAGGGAAAAUUCCAAUUAAACAAAUACAGUGGGCUGGGUGCCGUGAGAGCAGUGUGAUCCAGACGACGGUUCACCCAAGAACGGACGACCCACGUACCUCACGUGACAGACUCACACUGUACAAACCCUCGGGGGCUACUCUGGUGACAUACCCCGAAGGGAAUAGACACUGGGAAGCGACUGACCCCG